AAAUUUAAAUAAUUCUAUAUUAGUAAAAACAUAAAAGCUAUCUUGUUGUUAUGUGUGCGACAGAUAUACUUUUAACGUAAUCUCAAUAUUAUAAGAUAAUUUUGAUAAUGGCUGUGAGAAAAGAAAGGUCUUGUGCUAAGUGCGGCAUAACUUCGAAAGGAGAUCCUUCAUUGACCUUCCAUAGGUUUCCUGUGGCGACCGAACGUAAUUCUCUGAAGAGGAUCAAGAGGCCCCUUCUUGUAUACCACAAUCUGAGUCUAUGGAAUUGACAAUUGAAUGUACACCUUGGCCCCAAAAUCUUGAUAAGACAGUAGACUCAACAAUGUCAUCAGAUGAGCCAGAUGAAGAAUUUGAGUUCAGUGUUCAGCAAAAACUUACAGCAAAUUCAAGCAACAGGAGUGGAGGCAAUGAACUCAACCUAGACAGUUUCCCAAAAAUUCCGCAAUUUUCUGGAAAGUUUUGGGAUUGGCCUUUGUUUAAAGACAAUUACAUUUCGUUGAUACAUUCUUCAAAGUUAGACAAUAUUAACAAGUUUAAAUGUUUAAUAUCUGCAGUUAAAGGUAAUGCAUUACGUAUGAUUAAAAAGAUAGAGUUUACAGCCGAAAAUUAUGAGAUUGCGUGGCAACUUUUGUUAUAUAAAUAUGAUAAUAACCGUUGUAGGGUUAAUAAUCUUUUGAAUGAAUUAUUAAAUUUUCCAAUAAUUAAAAAAGAAUCUAGUAGAGACUUAAAAUCACUGGUGGACAAUAUAAAAACCAGUUUAUGUGCAUUAAAAUCUCUCGGACAACCAACAGACUAUUGGGAUACUAUAGUGAUUCAUUUAAUGGUGCGUAAAUUAGACAGUGUCACAUUUCGUGAGUGGGAAAAUCAGUGUAACGCAUUAACAACUUCUCCUAAUUUAAAACAAUUCUUAGAAUUUAUAAGCAAUAAAGCAGAUACAUUAGAAAUCAUAUAUAAAGAAGAUAAACGAAAAACCAGAAAAAAAAUGAGGUUAUUAAGAGAAAAUAUUAGUCCAAAUUGAGAACAUAUAAAUCUGUCGAACAGUAUUAAUAAGGAACA